GGCGCAAUCUCAUAUGAGUAUUCGCGAUUAUUACGCUGAGUUGCACAAUCGAUUUUCGCAAAAAUAUGCAUCGUAAAUAAUUUUCGAAAAUAAUUCCUCAUACACCUGUUGGGAAUGGCGAAUUUGGAAUGAAAAUGCAACUUGGGACUCGGACGAAUACGACGUUGGGAAAAUAUUUCUGCAGCUUUAUUUUAGAUGUUGGGCGAUGUAGAGGUGAAAUGGCUGCAAACGCGAGUAGUGGCAGCUGAUAUUAUUGCGUCUUAUUUAUGGAGGAGUGGAUGCUGGGUGGGCGAAUAGAUUUCAUAAUUAAGCGAGUGGGCCAACGAUCUGGAGGAAGUGAUAAGCUCUAUUUUCUCACAAUCAGCUUCAUUGUUGCAAAAGGCAUACUAAUACGCGUUUAACAUUUUAUAAUCUUACAAAUUCCUACUUUUAAUUAAUCGUUUAAAAAAUAAAUCUUUCGUAGAAGAUUUUGGCAAACAAAAGAGAAAUGGCGAAGAACGAAAACAAAGGCAUCGUUGGAAUUAUCGCUGUGGCCUUGAUUAAUUUUUGGAUUGGGAUAAAAUAGAUUAGAGUAAAUUAAUGCGAAAAGUACAAUCAACUAAAAUGAUUGGUAAAUGGGAAAAUAUCACGGAAAUAGAGAAGAGAAAACAAUGAAUAAAACUGAUUAGUUGUGAAAUUGAAUAUCUGUUAUCAGCUCUAAAAGUUACG